UGCUGACUGCGGCCGGGCGGGCGAGAGACGGGGAGAGAUGGGGCCCGCAACCAACUCAGUGACUUGCUUUGAAAAAGACAAAAGGAAAAAUAUGAAAAAUUCGGAAGGCAGCAUCCAUCUAAAAAAAAUGAGAAAGAUCUGAAAGAUCCAAGGUAAACAAAAAAAGAUAAAGUAAAGGGGCUCGUGGGGAGAAGCUGCAGCUGGCGGUUGGUCUGGAGGGCUCAAUCCCAUGAACCCCUAAAUUCGCGCGCUCCUGACAGCACAGACUCAUUAGGGGCUCCUCUUCGGGGGAGAAUAGAGAUGCCUUUCCAACCCUCCUCCCCCUCGUGUCCUCGAGUUCGGACCACUUGCUCAGACUGUCCUGGCAGCCAAAGUGACUUUCUCAUGCCCGGCUUCUCUGUCCCCAGCGCGCCGGACACCGUCCAGCCAUUAGCGCAUCUGAAUCUCACUCCGGUGCAACUCCCAGCCCCGAUUCUCCGAAGCCUCUUGGCCCUGAACGAUGCCCUAUACAUGAGAUGCCUUUUCAUCCACAAACUCUGCAAACUGUGUCUCCUAGUCACAAGUCUCCUUUUUUUUCUCUUCCGCCACCCCCACCGGGCGUUUUCUUCUUCCACCAGCUUUUACUGAACUUUUUGGCACUGCUUUGGAUUGGAGUCAAUUGCGGUCCACUUAGCUGGCUGCAGAGAAAUCUACGGAGUAAGGAAAGGCACACACAUGUUUGCAGAAGUGUCUCAGUUUGCAUUUCUGUUUGGAUGAUCCGAACUGGACUCACAUCCUGUAGGGUGGAUGGACUGUAUAUUGAUGAUUCCAUUCUUUGCGCAGUUUAGACAUCUCUGUUGGAAUUUGGUUUUUUGUUUUUAUUUUAAAAGGCACAAACUAUAGAUAUUAGUUGAAUGUUGAGGCUUUAACUUUUUUCGGUGUCUUUCUACAACUGUGUUCUGUGACUCAAUUGUAUCGUGUUAAUAUCAGUACAGACCGUCUCCUCUACGUGACCGUAUAAUGUUUUUUCUUCUUGUAGUCUCUAUGGUGUGUCUCUAUGGCGUAAUAAGGUUCUCACGGGUUCAAUUCCUUUGUGUUUAGAGAGACCACGCUUCAGACAAUGGUAUAUAUUUUUGUUAUCAGGUGCAUGUCUGUCUGAUUUCUUUUUUUCUUCUCGUUGGACUACGUUUGUGAACAUAAUCAUAAAUUAUGUUUCAGAUUUUCAAAUUUAUUUAUAUGUGUUAUAAUGAAUGCUUCUAUUUAAAAGGGAAAUAUUUCUACAUGUGCAUAUAGUUUUCCAAGAGUGUA
rnacentral:lncRNA from 1 species